AGCAUGUUAGAUCAGAGGAAGAUCGCCGGGCUCAUAACCCGGAUGUGUACGUUUUCCACUUUAUCCGCACAAUCUUAGGACCAAUUGACUAACAAUGACCUACAGCCCUGGAUCGAAACCAGGACAUGCUA
rnacentral:tRNA from 1 species